AUGGCGGUUCCUCUGGUGCUCGUGCUCUUGGUCGCCAUGUUCACCGGCUCAGAUGCCAUGUACUGCGUGUGCAAGUCGGACGCGAACCCGGCGGCGAUGCAGAAGGCCAUCGACUACGCGUGCGGCAAGGGCGCCGACUGCACCCAGAUCACCUCCAGCGGGCCCUGCUUCCAGCCCUCCUCCGUCGUCGCCCACUGCUCCUACGCCUGCAACAGCUACUACCAGAAGAACGCCGGCAUGGGCGCCACCUGCGACUUCAUGGGCGUCGCCACCCUCGUCGCCGCCGACCCCAGCGCCGGAUCCUGCAAGUACCCCGCCAGCGCUAGCGGCGUAGGCACCGGAGCAGGCACCGGCGGCAUGGGCACCGGCGGCACAGGGAUGGGCACCGGCGGCAUGGGCACCGGCACAGGCAGCACCGGGACAGGCACGGGCGUCAGCACCGGCGGCAUGGGGAGCAUGACCCCGCCGGGCGCGACCAGCACCGGGAUGCCGGGGAGCCCCUUCGGCGGCGGCGCGUACGGCCCGUCGGGCAUGAACCAGGACUACAACGCAGCCGCCGUCGGUCGCCGCGUGGCCUCCGCCGGGCUUCUCGUGGCGGCAGCCGCGCCGCUCCUCCUCCACCUCAUCUGA
rnacentral:rRNA from 1 species